rnacentral:snRNA from 1 species
GUGUUUCCGCAGCCCAUGCACUAAAACUGGAAGAAUACAAAGAUUGGCGUGGCCCCUAAGCAAGCAUGACACAAGAAUUCAUGGAUCGCUCCAUGUUUUU